rnacentral:rRNA from 1 species
GAUGAACGCUGGCGGCGUGCCUAAUACAUGCAAGUCGAGCGAACGGACGAGAAGCUUGCUUCGCUGAUGUUAGCGGCGGACGGGUGAGUAACACGUGGAUAACCUACCUAUAAGACUGGGAUAACUUCGGGAAACCGUAGCUAAUACCGGAUAAUAUUUUGAACCGCAGGGGUCGAAAGUGAAAGACGGUCUUGCUGGCACUUCUAGAUGGAUCCGCGCUGCUUUAGCUAGUUGGUAAGGUAACGGCCUACCAAGGCAACGAGGCAUAGCCGACCGGAGAGGCGGAUCGGCCACCCUGGAGCUGAGACACGGUCCUGGCUCCUGCGGGAGGCACCAGUAGGGUAUCUUCCGCAGUGGGCGGAAGCCUGACGGAGCAGCGCCGCGUGAGUGAUGAAGGUCUUCGGAUCGUAAAACUCUGUUAUUAGGGAAGAACAUAUGUGUAAGUAACUGUGCACAUCUUGACGGUACCUAAUCAGAAAGCCACGGCUAACUACGUG